rfam:Chlorocebus sabaeus isolate 1994-021 chromosome 4, whole genome shotgun sequence.
GCUGGGCAUAGUGGUGCAUGCCUAUAGUCCCAGCUACUUGGGAGGCUGAGGCAGGAGAAUUGCUUGAACCCGGGAGGUGGAGACUGCAGUGAGCCAAGAUUGAGCCACUGCCCNGGGCAGUGGCUCAAUCUUGGCUCACUGCAGUCUCCACCUCCCGGGUUCAAGCAAUUCUCCUGCCUCAG